rnacentral:rRNA from 1 species
AUUGAACGCUGGCGCCAUGCCUUACACAUGCAAGUCGAACGGCAGCACGGGUGCUUGCACCUGGUGGCGAGUGGCGAACGGGUGAGUAAUACAUCGGAACAUGUCCUGUAGUGGGGGAUAGCCCGGCGAAAGCCGGAUUAAUACCGCAUACGAUCUACGGAUGAAAGCGGGGGACCUUCGGGCCUCGCGCUAUAGGGUUGGCCGAUGGCUGAUUAGCUAGUUGGUGGGGUAAAGGCCUACCAAGGCGACGAUCAGUAGCUGGUCUGAGAGGACGACCAGUCACACUGGGACUGAGACACGGCCCAGACUCCUACGGGAGGCAGCAGUGGGGAAUUUUGGACAAUGGGCGAAAGCCUGAUCCAGCAAUGCCGCGUGUGUGAAGAAGGCCUUCGGGUUGUAAAGCACUUUUGUCCGGAAAGAAAUCCUUGGCCCUAAUACGGUCGGGGGAUGACGGUACCGGAAGAAUAAGCACCGGCUAACUACGUG